rnacentral:tRNA from 2 species
CGCGGAGUGGAGCAGCGGUAGCUCGUUGGGCUCAUAACCCAAAGGUCGCAGGUUCGAGUCCUGCCUCCGCAA